rnacentral:rRNA from 1 species
UUCCAGACUCCUACGGGAGGCAGCAGUGGGGGAUAUUGCACAAUGGGGGGAACCCUGAUGCAGCGACGCCGCGUGGGUGAAGGAGCGUUUCGGCGCGUAAAGCCCUAUCGGCAGGGAAGAAGGAGGACGGUACCUGACUAAGAAGCCCCGGCUAACUACGUGCCAGCAGCCGCGGUAAUACGGGGGGUGCAAGCGUUGUCCGGAAUCAUUGGGCGUAAAGAGUUCGUAGGCGGCACGUAAAGUCUGGUGUUAAAGGCAGAGGCUCAACUUCUGUACGGCACUGGAUACUUGCGAGCUAGAAUGCGGUGGAGGUAAAGGGAAUUCCUGGUGUAGCGGUGAAAUGCUUAGAUAUCAGGAGGAACAUCGGUGGCGUAAGCGCUGUACUGGGCCGUAAUUGACGCUGAGGAACGAAAGCCAGGGUAGCAAAUGGGAUUAGAUACCCUUGUAGCA